GAAAUGCGAUAAGUAGUGUGAAUUGCAGAAUUCCGUGAACCAUCGAGUCUUUGAACGCACAUUGCGGCCGCCAGCACUCUGGCGGGCAUGCCUGCUCGAGCGUCCUUUCAACCAUCAAGCCCCCGGGCUUGCGUUGGGGACCUGCGGCUGCCCGCAGGACCUGAAAACCAGUGGCGGGCUCGCUGUCACCCCGGUCGUAGUAGUAUCAUCUCGUCCAGGGCGUGGCUGCGGGCUCCGGCCGUUAAACCUUCUCACAUCCAAAGGUUGACCUCGGAUCAGGUAGGAAUACCCGCUGAACUUAA
rnacentral:misc_RNA from 1 species